CCUACGGGGGGCAGCAGUGGGGAAUAUUGCACAAUGGGGGAAACCCUGAUGCAGCGACGCCGCGUGAGCGAGGAAGUAUUUCGGAAUGUAAAGCACUGUCAGCAGGGAAGAAGAAAGACGGUACCUGACCAAGAGGCCCCGGCUAACUACGUGCCAGCAGCCGCGGUAAUAGGUAGGGGGCAAGCGUUAUCCGGAUUUACUGGGUGUAAAGGGAGCGUAGCCGGCAGGGCAAGUCUGGCGUGAAAGGCAGGGGCCCAACCCCUGGACUGCUCUGGAAACUGUCCGGCUGGAGUACAGGAGAGGUAAGUGGAAUUCCUGGUGUAGCGGUGAAAUGCGUAGAGAUUAGGAGGAACACCAGUGGCGAAGGCGGCUUACUGGACUGUAACUGACGUUGAGGCUCGAAAGCGUGGGGAGCAAACAGGAUUAGAUACCCUAGUAGUC
rnacentral:rRNA from 1 species